AGAGCCACAAGACUAUUCCUGAUCCUGGAGAUAGAAUGAUACAGCCUAGAGAAUGGAUCUUCUCUCAUUACAGCUGAAUUCCUGGAAAAUGGCCCUGAUCUUCCACUUUGAAGGACUCACCCCCAAAACACAGAGCAGAGCUUUCUGGAAUUCCUAUUGUGUGGAUUUGUGCUGAGAGAAAUCAUCUGAGAGACGUCUGGAGUGCAAUGAAAGCAAUGACAAUGUUUUCUCGAUUGUUUAUGCAUAGCUCAAUCCACAUUAUUUCUGGAAGAAAAGAAAAAAGAAAAAAAAAAGAAUAAAGAAAAAGAAAACAAUGCAUUUCCCUUCAAUCCACAUGGAUUUAAAACUAGAGAUGUAAUUUAAAAAAACAGAAGCAAAAAACAAAAAACAAAACCAGAAACUGGUCUUUCCAACUAAUAAAAAAGGAACUCAGUGCUGUGCUCACAGCAAAGUCGUGGAAGAUAAUUUGAAACUUCAGUUAGCUUCCUGUAGAGAA